UCGCCGGAGACGCCAUGUACCGGCUCCUGUCAGCCGUGACAAACCGGGCCGUGACCCACGGGAGCUGCGCCUGGGGCGGCGGGCGGCGCGCAGCUCACCAGCGCGCCGGGCUGCCGCCGCUCGGCCCCGGCUGGGUCGGAGGCCUCGGGCUGGGUCUGGGGCUGGCGCUCGGGGUGAAGCUGGCCGGCGGGCUGAGGGGUGCGUCCCCCGCGCCGCCCACCGCUGCCCCAGACCCCGAGACGCCGCCUCAGGCCGAGCCGCUGCCGCCGCAGGAGCAGCCCCUCGCCCAGUGGUCUCCGCAGACCCCGACGCCGCCGCACUCCAGGCGCUUUGCCAGAGCCAUCGACCGCAGCCGCGACCUCCUGCACAGGAUCAAGGAUGAGGUGGGCGCACCGGGCAUUGUGGUUGGAGUCUCUGUAGAUGGAAAAGAAGUCUGGUCAGAAGGUUUAGGUUAUGCUGAUGUUGAGAACCGUGUACCAUGCAAGCCAGAGACAGUUAUGAGAAUUGCUAGUAUCAGCAAAAGCCUCACCAUGGUUGCUAUUGCCAAAUUGUGGGAAGCAGGGAAACUGGAUCUUGAUAUUCCAGUACAAUAUUAUGUUCCUGAAUUCCCAGAAAAAGAAUAUGAAGGUGAAAAGGUUUCUGUCACAACAAGAUUGUUGAUUUCCCACUUAAGUGGAAUUCGUCAUUAUGAAAAGGACAUGAAAAAGGUGAAAGAAGAGAAAGCUUAUAAAGCCUUGAAGAUGAUGAAAGGGACGAUGGAAUCUGACCAAGAAAAAGAGUUAAAAGUAAAAGGAGGCAAAAGUAAUGAAAAGAAUGACUUUGCUAAAGCUAAGAUAGAGCAAGAUAAUGAAGCCAAAGGCCGAAAUUCAAAACCUUGCAAGAAAAAGAAUGAUUUUGAACAAGGCGAAUUAUAUUUGAAAGAAAAAUUUGAAAAUUCAAUUGAAUCCCUAAGAUUAUUUAAAAAUGACCCUUUGUUCUUUAAACCUGGUAGUCAGUUUUUGUAUUCAACUUUUGGCUAUACCCUAUUGGCAGCCAUAGUAGAAAGAGCUUCAGGAUAUAAAUAUUUGGACUAUAUGCAGAAAAUAUUCCAUGACUUGGAUAUGCUGACAACUGUGCAGGAAGAAAAUGAGCCAGUGAUUUACAAUAGAGCAAGAUUUUAUGUUUACAAUAAAAAGAGACGUCUUGUCAACACACCUUACGUGGAUAACUCCUAUAAAUGGGCUGGUGGUGGAUUUCUGUCUACAGUAGGUGACCUUCUGAAAUUUGGGAAUGCAAUGCUGUAUGGUUACCAAGUCGGGCUGUUUAAGAACUCAAAUGAAAAUCUUUUACCUGGAUAUCUCAAACCAGAAACAAUGCUUAUGAUUUGGACACCAGUGCCUAACACAGAGAUGUCUUGGGAUAAAGAGGAGAUGGUGUCUAUUUCUCCACUCCCUUGAACCAGAGGUGGCCUUGUGACUUGCUUUGACCCAGGGAAAUGAUGUUGCACAAGUUCCAGCGCUUAGGCUUCAAGAGGCCAUCAAACUUGCAUCUUCACCCUCCAAGAACACUGCCCCCAAGAUGGCCACGUAAGGAAACCAGACUACCUUACUGGAUAACCCAGCUGACGGCCAGUACCAGACAUGUGACUGAAGCCAUCUUGGACCUUCCAGUCCAGUUGAGCCUCCAUGCAUGAGUGAGCCCAGAUUUUUCCAAGGUUCCUAAACUGUGCAAGCUGAGGUGGCUUGGAGCAUCAUGGGAGAAACAUUGAUACUUGACAUCUUUUGGAUACCAUGCAAACUUCUAGUUCCAGGUUGCAAAGCACGUGUGGCUUAUUCUCAACACAUUCCUGAAAGCAGCAGCAACUUCUGAAACCCACCUCUUCUCUGCACAUCAGUUCUCCAACAGGUUCACAAAUAUUAUCCCCAAAGCUCUGCUGUUCGGGUUGCGAUUCAUCUGCCACUCAUGAGGAUCCUUGACACUUCAGGUAUCCAAAGAAUAAAACCUGAAAUCAAAGACUAGAAGCAGAAAAUCUGGAGGUUCUGACUUACAUGGGCUCCUGCUUCAGAUUAAUAAGAAACCAGUCCAUCGUCUGCCGCCAGCUGGACCCAGUGGAUCUCAGUGCUGCCUGCUGUCAGAAAUCUGAACCAUGCACCGAUUGCUUGCUCUGUGCUCCACUUCCGCGACCAAACCCUGCUUUCUGUUCAGGUGUCCCAGGAGUUUCAGCAAGACAUUUUGCAACCACGUGAGGCCGGUCUGUUGAAAUCAGUGUUACUUUGAGGAAGCAUUGCUAAGAAACCAAGAGAGAGAAACCAGGUCCUGGGCAUGUCAUUUGAGCUGCUGGAUCACUCACCUGUUGCUAGUUCUAGAUCUGAUUAUUUUAGUAUAUGAUUAAGUAAAUAUUUUUAUUAUUUAGCAUUUAGUAUUCUAUUAUUUACUGCCACACGUAUCUCAAUACCUCUUAUGAUGCUGAUUGUGAGUUUCAUAACAUCUUGACUUUGCCAUUGGAUCAAAGUCCAUUUUAAAGUUGGUUCCAAAAGGCUUUCUUUAAUCACUCAUUCUAACAAGAAACUCUACCCAAAGCACAUAGUACUUACUGUGUAUGUGCCUUAUUUGACACAAAAUCCUACAUAGCGAUGCCCAGGCUAAUGAAAGGAAUGAAUUUCACUAACAUAUUUUAUUGUCAAAAACUUUAUUAUUAGAGAAAGAAAUAAUACAAGUGUAUUAGAAUAGAUUCCUUCCAAUCCACCCUAUAGUAGAGUAAAUUUCAUGUAGCCAUUUUUUCGUAUUAUCAUGUCAUUUUUAUUUAAUUUUUACAUUCAGUGGAGAUAUGCAAAAUAUUUAACAAUCAGUUUGGCAUAAGCACUUGACCAAUCAGAUUGGAUGUCUGACCAAUCCGAAUUAAAAGCCAACCAAUCAGAACAGACACCUGACCCAUCAGAAUAGAUGAAGUGUGUGUCUGCCAGGUAUCUGCCUCCCAUUUAUCAUUGAACUUUUCUCUUGUGGGAUCUCCCCUCAAUUACCUGGGAAGCAAACUGAGGGCAGGGGCCACAUGACAUACCUUUGCAUCCUCCAGGUAGGCCUUGCUGAGCUGGUUUCA